ensembl:misc_RNA Metazoa_SRP Metazoan signal recognition particle RNA
GCUGGGUGCGGUGGCUCACACCUGUAAUCCCAGCACUUUGGGAGGCUGAGGUGGGCGGAUCACCUGAGGUCAGGAGUUCAAGACCAGCCUGACCAACAUGGUGAAACCCCGUCUCUA